AUGUUUCAUUCAACUUACAGACAAUUCAAUAAAUCCCAUCCAGUACAUAAACUACUACAUCAUUCUAAUUACAAGGAAAUUCUACAACUCAACAUACUAUCUCUAAAAGUCCUAUCUCAUUCUAAUUCUCCAAGUUGUUUCAUCUUCACCAUUUUCCAAGAGUGA